GUUGAAACUAGCUUUUUGCCUUGUUCUUAAAGACAGUUAUUUGAUUUACAGUGUCUGAGACAGCUAAAGUUCAUCACUCUAGUUCAUCAGUUUUAUUUUCCAAACCAUCAUUCAUUAUGGAAUGCUAAAUACAUCAGUUCUCAAAUAGUUGGUGAGGUUUUUUUUUCUUUUUUACUUUGUUGUCAGGUUGCACUUCCUGCAGAUGAGGAUUAUUUACCACUGAAACCACGAGUUGGAAAAGCUGCUAAGGUAUGCCAUUGCAUUGGCCUUAAGGGAAAAGCAGCGUGUAAUAUUUACCAGCCCAAUUAAGGCUCUGAGUAACCAAAAAUACCGUGAAAUGUAUGAAGAAUUUCAAGAUGUUGGUUUGAUGACUGGUGAUGUUACUAUUAAUCCUACGGCAUCUUGUCUUGUUAUGACCACAGAGAUUUUGAGAAGUAUGCUUUACAGAGGUUCCGAAGUUAUGAGAGAAGUUGCUUGGGUUAUAUUUGAUGAAAUUCAUUAUAUGAGAGAUUCAGAACGUGGUGUAGUAUGGGAAGAAACUAUUAUUUUGCUUCCUG
rnacentral:sRNA from 1 species